GUAAGUAAUGUUUUGUUAAUUAGAUUUCUAGUCUCUUUGGGAUGAUUUUUCAACUUUUUUUGUAGAUUCUUUUUUAUGCUCGCAGCAAGGCAUUUGAAAUAGGUGUUGACUGUUCUGUUUUUAUUAACAAUUAUGUUCUACAUUGUGUAUCUUUGUGUGCGAGUGGAGCCAUAUAAACAGGUUAGAUGUUACAGUGCUUGGAGGGACUGAUUAUGAUCAUUAUGAUCAUAUGGCUGAUUGGCUAUUAGUUUUUGAAGCCUGAUUCGCUAACAGAGCUUCUAAUGUAUGAUCAUCACUGACAUUCCGUACUUCUUGAAAAUGGAUUUAUAAUAUAGUUAGGGGCAGGCAGGGCAUUCUGUCUCUUACAAUUGUUUCAAAGUUAUGCUUUUGAUCUCAGUAGCAAAGCAGCUUUACCGACAAGUUAAACGAGGAUGCAAAUUAUAUAGCAGCAGUGGUUGGGGAGUUAUUGGUAAAACGUUAGGAGGUUCUCCAUGCAUGGCAGCUCCCUGCCAUCGAACAACAAGUUUUGCCUCUUCGUCUUAAAAAGGCCUUGGGUGGUAAUCGAACUUGACUUCAGAAGUUGGUGUGAUGAGUCGCCGUAAGAUGUUCUAGCAUUCCCUCUCCGGAAUCUGUCCAUCAAUACCACACGGAGCUCAUUGGAGAACACAGUACAAUACUAACAGUCAAGAAAACGAGGGUCGCACUCCUAACUUAAACAACGGAGCGUGGUAGUCCACGUAUAGAUCUAAGGCAGGUCAGCUCCAAGUUGUCUGCUGCAGCUAAAGAUGCUGAUUUGCUUGCCAUGAUGAACAAUCAGAUGAUUAAAGGAAACAUUUGUAACU